rnacentral:rRNA from 1 species
CACGUAGGGCGCAAGCGUUUGUCCGGAAUUAUUGGGCGUAAAGAGCUCGUAGGCGGUCUGUCGCGUCUGCUGUGAAAACUCAGGGCUUAACCCUGAGCUUGCAGUGGGUACGGGCAGACUAGAGUGCGGUAGGGGAGACUGGAAUUCCUGGUGUAGCGGUGAAAUGCGCAGAUAUCAGGAGGAACACCCGUAGCGAAGGCGGCACUCUGGGGCCGAUACUGACACUGAGGAGCGAAAAGCGUGGGGGAGCGAACAGG